UACGUAGGGUGCGAGCGUUGUCCGGAAUUAUUGGGCGUAAAGAGCUUGUAGGCGGUUUGUCGCGUCUGCUGUGAAAUCUCAAGGCUCAACCUUGAGCUUGCAGUGGGUACGGGCAGACUAGAGUGUGGUAGGGGAGACUGGAAUUCCUGGUGUAGCGGUGAAAUGCGCAGAUAUCAGGAGGAACACCGAUGGCGAAGGCAGGUCUCUGGGCCACUACUGACGCUGAGAAGCGAAAGCAUGGGUAGCGAACAGG
rnacentral:rRNA from 1 species